GAGUAAAAUUGAAACUUUUAAUGACUUUCUAUGUAGGCUGGUUUUGAAUAGUGCACUAAUAAAAACUCUACUCACUGUUUUGCACCAUGAUCCAGUCAGUGUGAGAGUUGCCAUAGGCUAAAUCUGUGAGUGGAUUAUAGAGCACUUGUUUUGUGCGGGGCACGACUAACUGGCCGACUCGACCUCUGUUGACCACUAUAGUGGUCACUGUCGGCAUGGACUCGGAGGGCUCUGCAUCCUCAUCUCUCGAGCGCCUACCUUUCAACAAUGUCGCGCUGAAAAAACUUCCACUUGACUCCUCCGAAGAACCAGGGUCACGAACGGUGAGCGGAGCAUGCUUCUCCCGCGUCCAGCCACAACCUCUUGUCAACCCCACUUUCGUGGCAGUAUCCGGACCAGCACUCGCUCUGCUUGGGCUAGAUGAUAAGGAAAUAUUUCACGACUUGCUUGGUCCAGAAUAUUUGAGCGGUUCUAAAGUUUUACCGGGCUCGGAGCCGGCUGCGCAUUGUUACUGCGGUCAUCAGUUUGGACUAUUUGCUGGACAGCUGGGUGAUGGGGCGGUGUGUUACCUUGGCGAGGUGGAAGCACCUGCGGACCAACUCGGUUCCAUGCAGCGUGACAACCCAUGUGGGCGAUGGGAAAUACAGGUGAAGGGUGCAGGUGUCACACCUUACUCCAGAGAGUCAGACGGACGGAAGGUCCUUCGUUCCAGCAUCAGGGAGUUCCUGUGCAGCGAGGCCAUGGCCGCUCUGGGCAUCCCCACCACCCGUGCCGCGUCUCUGGUUACAUCGGACCUCUAUGUCAACAGAGACCCCCUCAACAAUGGCCGGCGCCGCCCGGAGAGGUGUUCAGUGGUCCUGCGCAUUGCCCCCUCCUUUAUCAGGUUCGGGUCCUUUGAGAUCUUUCAGUCUCGGGAUGAGUUUUCAGGACGACAGGGUCCCAGUCCAGGGCGUCACGACAUUCGGGCUCUGCUAGUGGACUACGUCAUCGACACUUUUUACCCUGACAUCCAACGAUGCCACAGCAACCGCAAAGAGAGGAACACAGCAUUUUUCAAAGAGGUGACAGUGCGGACGGCUCGUCUGGUGGCCCAGUGGCAAUGUGUUGGCUUCUGUCAUGGUGUCCUCAACACAGACAACAUGAGCAUAUUGGGACUUACUGUGGAUUACGGCCCCUUUGGCUUCAUAGACAGAUUCGACCCAGAGUUUGUGUGCAACGCCUCAGACCGGAGGGGGCGCUACUCAUACCAAGCCCAGCCGUCCGUGUGCCGUUGGAACCUGGCUCGUCUGGCUGAGGCCCUGGGCUCUGAGCUCCAUGCAUCCCAGGCAGGGGCCAUCCUUGAUGAGUUCAUGCCCCUCUAUGAGACCCUCUACCUGGCCAACAUGAGGAGGAAGCUGGGCCUACUGAGGCGGAAGGAACCAGAGGACCAGGAGCUUGUCUCUGAGCUGCUGCAGCUCAUGCACAACACAGGAGCAGACUUCACCAACACCUUCCGCUUGCUGAGUGGCGUGUCCUGCCCUGUGGUGGGGGAGGGGAAGGGGGCCACAGGGGGCCCGGUGGUGGACCUUCUCCUGGAGCAGUGUGUCUCCCUGGAGGAGCUUAAGCGAUUUGGAGAAAAAUCAUACAAGGACAAUCUUGAGCUGGCUAUGGUCCUCUCUAUGGCCCAGACCAACCCAGCCAUGUUUGGCCUGGUGGCAGACCGACCAGAGGUGGCCCAUCAGCUGGAGAAGAUGGACAGACUGAAGGAGCUGCUGAGCACCAAUCAGGACGAGCUGAGGGCAAAGCAGAGAGAGGAUUGGCUACGCUGGAUCAGUCAGUACAGGAAGCGGUUGGUGAAGGAGUGUGAUGGAGCGAGGGAGGUGCGUACCAUAGAGGAAGAGAGGAUCCGUGUGAUGGACAGCACCAACCCACGCGUGGUGCUCCGCAACUACAUUGCCCAGAAUGCAAUACAGGCUGCUGAAAAUGGAGACUUCUCAGAGGUCCGCAGAGUUCUAAAAGUUCUAGAGAACCCCUACUGUGCCUAUCCAGAGUCAGAACUACCUGGUGGGCCUAAAACAUUUGGAGAGAGGUACCAGAAAGGGAUGGAGAAAGACAAAGAGGGAAGGAAGGAUGAGGGGAAGACAGAUGGAAACCAAAAUUGUGUCCCAUAUGACAGCAAGCCUCCUGUGUGGGCACGAGAGAUCUGUGUCACCUGAUCGUCAUAGUGCCUCCCUGACCCCCAAAACUCAACUGACAGUGGAGAAAGAUGUAGAUGGUGUUCCUCAGGACACUGAUCUAGGUCCAUUCCGCUUUUCAAAGAUAGAACCCUGCUCUUUGUUCUGAGUCAGUUGGGUAAAUGUCAAGGGAGGUAGUUCAGAGUGCUCCUGGAUGUCAAUCAGUAGAAUAAACUGAUGGUGAAUGAAGACUCAGGUAAUCAGUCAGUGACCUGUCUGUGUUGGAGAGACCAGGAGCACCCUGGCUGUGUGUCUAUGCGCACACACACACACACACACACUUGAGUUUUGCAUGUAUUUAGAUUAUUUCACACACAGCAUGUAGUGUAUGCAUGAUUGAAGAGAUAUAAUAAAAUACUCAUACAUUCAGAAACAUAAUCAUUGAUCAUCUUACUAACACCCACAAAUAGUUUUUAACCACUGUUCUAAGAUGAAGACCAUCUACACACAAUUUCUCGAAUCCAUAAAUAAAAUGUAUAUCUUAAUAAUACAUCUUAAUACAAGAGGCAAGGUUUCACACAAUGUUAUGUUCAUGUAUAUUAUGUGAUGUGGGGAGAAAAAUGCUUUAAAAGGAGUUUGUUCUGAACUUCGAUGUGCAUUUAAAAAAUGUGUGCAAAGUUUUAUGUACAGCAGGUUUGGAAUUGCUUAUUGAUAACUUGCUGUACCAUGUUACUCUGUCAAAACAGCAAACAUUAAUAAACCUAUCACUACUU